UCCCUAUGGGGCGCACCAGGCGCGAAAACUUUACAAUGCGGGCAACCGUGAUAAGGGAACCUCGAGUGCCUGUAUAUGCAGGCUGUCCAGGUGUCUAAAACACACCUGAAGAAAGGGCCGGGCAAGACCGGUGCCAGCCGCCGCGGUAAUACA
rnacentral:rRNA from 1 species